UACGGGAGGCAGCAGUGGGGAAUAUUGCACAAUGGGCGCAAGCCUGAUGCGGCCAUGCCGCGUGUAUGAAAAGGCCUUCGGGUUGUAAAGUACUUUCAGUCGUGAGGAAGGUGUUAAGGUUAAUAACCUUAGCAAUUGACGUUAGCGACAGAAGAAGCACCGGCUAACUCCGUGCCAGCAGCCGCGGUAAUACGGAGGGUGCGAGCGUUAAUCGGAAUUACUGGGCGUAAAGGGCACGCAGGCGGUUAAUUAAGUUGGAUGUGAAAUCCCCGGGCUUAACCUGGGAAUGGCAUUCAAGACUGGUUAGCUAGAGUCUUGUAGAGGGGGUAGAAUUCCAUGUGUAGCGGUGAAAUGCGUAGAGAUGUGGAGGAAUACCGGUGGCGAAGGCGGCCCCUGGACAAAGACUGACGCUCAUGUGCGAAAGCGUGGGGAGCGAAACAGGGAUUAGGAUACCC
rnacentral:rRNA from 1 species